CAGGGAGAGGGGGGUCCCUCAGCCCGGAUUGUGAGAGGGUGCAGGCCAGGCCAAGGGACCCCACUGGUGCACG
rnacentral:pre_miRNA from 1 species